rnacentral:lncRNA from 1 species
ACUUCCAGCUCCAAAACAACAAAAUGCCCAACCUCUGACAUUACCCCCCUAGUCCUACUUCUAGUGCCCUUGGCCUUCAUUUUCCCUUUUGACAAAGUCCUUCCUCCACCAAUGCCAUCCUGUCAUCGAUGACUGCCUUGUCUCCUUGAGUAGAAAGGUGCUUGAGCAGAGAAAGAAGGCGGAGGAAGAGGAGGAGAGCUGGAGUGAGAGACAGAAGCAGAGAGAGAAGAAGCUUGCAAAGGUGGUCUCUAAGUGUGCCCAAGCCAAUGAUGCCCACGUGCCCCUCUCCCAGACCAACCAGUCCAAGCUCAAGCAGUUCAGAAAGCAGGACUUUCAGCGGAGGAAGGAGUACCAGGAGGAGAUGAGGGAGAUCCAGGAGAGAGUGAAGGGGAGGCCUCUGCUGUUGGAGCAGGUCGCACAGAUGAAUGCCAAACACGCUGCAGAGAAGUGCUACACAGACACCCUGCGAGGCUGUGGAGUGAGUGAGGACUUUGUCAGUGGCAAGGUGCCCAAGUCCCAGCAGCCAGGUGGACAAGAAUCUGCAUGCUGGACCACCUCCUCCAGUGACCCAAAACAAAGUGAAAAGGACGAGACAGAUACACCGGCUAUUUACAACAUGGUCUUCCAGGAUGACUACCCAGACGAUUAUGAAGACAGCUUUGCUGACCAAGAAAGGGAGGGAGAGCAGGAGGCUGAGAAAGAUGAAUUCAAGUCAAAAAAAGAAAAUGAGGAUAAAGGCCAUGACGAAGCAGGGCGGGGGAGGGCGGAUAUUGGGCGUUAUUCAGAUGAUGGUGAUCACUCCGAUGCCGAUGACCAUUACUCAGAUGCCAGUGAGCAUUACUUGCCCCUGGACGAUGAAAAGAAUAAAGGGAGUGACAUCCUCAAAAGACCAGAGAGUACCCAGAGCAGCCCAAGCUAUAGAAGCGGCCAGCACAGCCGAAACAGUCAGAAGUCAGAGAGGGAUAGGGAAACACAGCAAUAGCGGAUAAGAAAAGUGAUGAGGAUGACUGAAAAGUCAAAGGAGUGCAUUUUCUCACAGGUAGGCAGGGCUACAUUGUGGCAAACGUCUACAACACUGACACACAGUGGUAGAGAUGCUUCUAUUAUAAAAAAGGAUAAAUGUAUGGUAGGAUAUCUGUCUGUAUACAUACAGUAAUAAUGGAGAAUUUCAUGUUUAUUACAUUAUUUUGUUGCAAAUACAAUUUAGUGUGAGACAGACCAGAGUCAAUUGUAGUACUAGGCUAUGGUUAUAAAAAUGAUCACAUUGAACAGUUUAGGCUACUCUUUGUCUUGUGAUAUCCUACUAUGCAGGAAAUACAAUACGAUGACCACUUACUUUUGGAUGUUUGUGAUACAUUUUCUUUCGACAAUUAUUUGUCUAAUGUUUUGUGACCUAAAUAUAUGUAGCCUAACAUUUGCUAUAUAUUUCAGGAUCAUACUUUUUUUUCAAUCGUCGCGUAUAUACAUCACAUUUGGGAACAUGAAGGUGUUAUGUAUUUCAUGUACAUUAUGGGAUAUUUAUAUUUCUGUACUAAACAAAGCAAAAAAAGAAACGUCCUCUCACUGUCAACUGCGUUUAUUUUCAGCAAACUUAACAUGUGUAAAUAUUUAUAUGAACAUAAGAUUCAACAACUGAGACAUAAACU